rnacentral:rRNA from 1 species
GAUCGAACGGCGUAGCUACAGGCUUAACACAUGCAAGUCGAGGGGCAGCGGAUUGAAGCUUGCUUCAAUUGCCGGCGACCGGCGCACGGGUGAGUAACGCGUAUCCAACCUUCCGUACACUCAGGGAUAGCCUUUCGAAAGAAAGAUUAAUACCUGAUGGUAUCUUAAGCACACAUGUAAUUAAGAUUAAAGAUUUAUCGGUGUACGAUGGGGAUGCGUUCCAUUAGGUAGUAGGCGGGGUAACGGCCCACCUAGCCAACGAUGGAUAGGGGUUCUGAGAGGAAGGUCCCCCACAUUGGAACUGAGACACGGUCCAA